UAUUGCACAAUGGGGGAAACCCUGAUGCAGCGACGCCGCGUGAGCGAAGAAGUAUUUCGGUAUGUAAAGCUCUAUCAGCAGGGAAGAAAAUGACGGUACCUGACUAAGAAGCACCGGCUAAAUACGUGCCAGCAGCCGCGGUAAUACGCAUGGUGCAAGCGUUAUCCGGAUUUACUGGGUGUAAAGGGAGCGUAGACGGUUGUGUAAGUCUGAUGUGGAAGCCCGGGGCUCAACCCCGGGACUGCAUUGGAAACUAUGUAGCUAGAGGGUCGGAGAGGUAAGCGGAAUUCCUAGUGUAGCGGUGGAAUGCGUAGAUAUUAGGAGGAACACCAGUGGCGAAGGCGGCUUACUGGACGAUCGCUGACGUUGAGGCUCGAAAGCGUGGGGAGCAAACAGG
rnacentral:rRNA from 1 species